AUGAGGGACUUUUUCAGACCUUUUAUUGGCUCACCAUGAUUGAAGUUAAGAAACCGCCGAGGGUCGAAGAGAAGAAACUGCCGUGAGAGGUGGCAAAGCUGACCUUUUGUGAUCCAUUGCCUCCGCUGAUUACAUUAAGUGGCAACAGGUUGCAUCAGUUACUGAUGAUGUCUCUUAACUUCACUUGGAAACAAAAAAAUAGAACGUAAAAUGCCGGAAUCUGUGUGCUUAGGUCUCAGGUGCUAUGAUGUCUUGCUAUCCGGGUUACAUAUGAAGCCGUUCUUAAGUUGAUGCAAGAGAGGAUAAACUAAUGGUUGCAUUCCGAUGACAUAAUUUAUGGUAUUGGUAGUGGCCAAUGUGUUACUCGAUCUUUUGAUGACGACGAUUUCAAUAUUUAUUGGAUUGUCGGUCAUCAGCCGAACACAAAUGUGAAACAAGGUGGUGCCAUCAAGAUUGUGAAAUUAUUUGUUUGCAACACAGGAGAACUAGUAGCUGCCUAGCCACGCAUCGUCAGAAAACCUAGAGCAGUUGCAACCUGAUGAUUUUCCCUUUUGAUGUUUAUCUGCUGCUGUUGCGAUUUCCUGCUGCUGAUGGUGUUAUGAUUUCCUGCUGCUGACGAUCGUUCCUUUUGUUGCUGAUUAUUUCUGCUGCUUUGACCAUGUGCUGGAUCUACUGGCUCGAUCUGAUUGGUACCAAGCAGUAUGCUCUCCACAAGCAGAGAGUUGCAAUUUUAGAUUUUGAGUAUUCAAAGAUUUAUGAUCAAAUUCGCACAUAGUUUGUACUAAAUUUAUUCUUUAGGCUGUGUUUUUAAAGUUUCUUUAAAUUUGUAAUCGAUAACUAUAAUUUUCUUUUUAAUAUUAUUGUUGUUUGCGAGAAAA